GAUGAAGAACGUAGCGAAAUGCGAUAAGUAGUGUGAAUUGCAGAAUUCAGUGAAUCAUCGAAUCUUUGAACGCACAUUGCGCCCCUUGGUAUUCCAUGGGGCAUGCCUGUUCGAGCGUCAUUUGUACCUUCAAGCUCUGCUUGGUGUUGGGUGUUUGUCUCGCCUCUGCGUGUAGACUCGCCUCAAAAUAAUUGGCAGCCGGCGUAUUGAUUUCGGAGCGCAGUACAUCUCGCGCUUUGCACUCAUAACGACGACGUCCAAAAGUACAUUUUUACACUCUUGACCUCGGAUCAGGUAGGGAUACCCGCUGAACUUAAGCAUAUCAAUAAGCGGAGG
rnacentral:misc_RNA from 1 species